UUGCAUAUCCAAUAAGCGGAGGAAAAGAAACCAACAGGGAUUGCCCCAGUAACGGCGAGUGAAGCGGCAACAGCUCAAAUUUGAAAUCUGGCUCUCGGGCCCGAGUUGUAAUUUGUAGAGGAUGCUUUUGGUGAGGUGCCUUCCGAGUUCCCUGGAACGGGACGCCAUAGAGGGUGAGAGCCCCGUCUGGUUGGACACCGAUCCUCUGUAAAGCUCCUUCGACGAGUCGAGUAGUUUGGGAAUGCUGCUCUAAAUGGGAGGUAUAUGUCUUCUAAAGCUAAAUACCGGCCAGAGACCGAUAGCGCACAAGUAGAGUGAUCGAAAGAUGAAAAGAACUUUGAAAAGAGAGUUAAACAGUACGUGAAAUUGUUGAAAGGGAAGCGCUUGUGACCAGACUUGGGCUUGGUUGAUCAUCCGGGGUUCUCCCCGGUGCACUCUUCCGGCUCAGGCCAGCAUCAGUUCGCCCUGGGGGAUAAAGGCUUCGGGAAUGUGGCUCUCUCCGGGGAGUGUUAUAGCCCGCUGCGUAAUACCCUGUGGCGGACUGAGGUUCGCGCAUUCGCAAGGAUGCUGGCGUAAUGGUCAUCAGUGACCCGUCUUGAACACGGACCA
rnacentral:sRNA from 1 species